UACGAAGGGGGCUAGCGUUGUUCGGAAUCACUGGGCGUAAAGGGCGCGUAGGCGGCUAUUCAAGUCGGGGGUGAAAGCCUGUGGCUCAACCACAGAAUUGCCUUCGAUACUGUUUGGCUUGAGACCGGAAGAGGUUAGUGGAACUGCGAGUGUAGAGGUGAAAUUCGUAGAUAUUCGCAAGAACACCAGUGGCGAAGGCGGCUGACUGGUCCGGUUCUGACGCUGAGGCGCGAAAAGCGUGGGGAGCAAACAGG
rnacentral:rRNA from 1 species